rnacentral:rRNA from 1 species
AUUCCCCUAGUAGCGGCGAGCGAAGCGGGAAGAGCUCAAAUUUAUAAUCUGGCACCUUCGGUGUCCGAGUUGUAAUCUCUAGAAGUGUUUUCCGCGUUGGACCGCACACAAGUCUGUUGGAAUACAGCGGCAUAGUGGUGAAACCCCCGUAUAUGGUGCGGACGCCCAGCGCUUUGUGAUACACUUUCAAUGAGUCGAGUUGUUUGGGAAUGCAGCUCAAAUUGGGUGGUAAAUUCCAUCUAAAGCUAAAUAUUGGCGAGAGACCGAUAGCGAACAAGUACCGUGAGGGAAAGAUGAAAAGCACUUUGGAAAGAGAGUUAACAGUACGUGAAAUUGUUGGAAGGGAAACGCUUGAAGUCAGACUUGCUUGCCGGAGCUUGCUUCGGUUUGCAGGCCAGCAUCAGUUUUCCGGGGUGGAUAAUGACGGUUUGAAGGUAGCAGUCUCGGCUGUGUUAUAGCUUUCCGUUGGAUACAUCCUGGGGGACUGAGGAACGCAGCGUGCUUUUUGCGAAAGACUCGUCUUUUUCACGCUUAGGAUGCUGGUGGAAUGGCUUUAAACGACCCGUCUUGAAACACGGACCAAGGAGUCUAACAUGCUCGCGAGUAUUUGGGUGUCAAACCCGGAUGCGCAAUGAAAGUGAAUGUAGGUGGGAACCGCAAGGUGCACCAUCGACCGAUCUGGAUUUUUUAAGAUGGAUUUGAGUAAGAGCGCGUAUGUUGGGACCCGAAAGAUGGUGAACUAUGCCUGAAUAGGGCGAAGCCAGAGGAAACUCUGGUGGAGGCUCGUAGCGGUUCUGACGUGCAAAUCGAUCGUCAAAUUUGGGUAUAGGGGCGAAAGACUAAUCGAACCAUCUAGUAGCUGGUUCCUGCCGAAGUUUCCCUCAGGAUAGCAGAAACUCACAUCAGUUCUAUGAGGUAAAGCGAAUGAUUAGAGGCCUUGGGGUUGAAACAACCUUAACCUAUUCUCAAACUUUAAAUAUGUAGGAAGU